GAUGAACGCUGACAGAAUGCUUAACACAUGCAAGUCAACUUGAAUUUGGGUUUUUAACUUAGGUUUGGGUGGCGGACGGGUGAGUAACGCGUAAAGAACUUGCCUCACAGCUAGGGACAACAUUUGGAAACGAAUGCUAAUACCUAAUAUUAUGAUAAUAGGGCAUCCUAUAAUUAUGAAAGCUAUAAGCGCUGUGAGAGAGCUUUGCGUCCCAUUAGCUAGUUGGAGAGGUAACGGCUCACCAAGGCGAUGAUGGGUAGCCGGCCUGAGAGGGUGAUCGGCCACAAGGGGACUGAGACACGGCCCUUACUCCUACGGGAGGCAGCAGUGGGGAAUAUUGGACAAGGGACCAAGAGUCUGAUCCAGCAAUUCUGUGUGCACGAUGAAGUUUUUCGGAAUGUAAAGUGCUUUCAGUUGGGAAGAAAGAAAUGACGGUACCAACAGAAGAAGUGACGGCUAAAUACGUG
rnacentral:rRNA from 1 species